rnacentral:rRNA from 1 species
GGGGAAUAUUGCACAAUGGGCGCAAGCCUGAUGCAGCAACGCCGCGUGAGGGACGACGGCCUUCGGGUUGUAAACCUCUUUUAGUAGGGAAGAAGCCGCAAGGUGACGGUACCUGCAGAAAAAGCACCGGCUAACUACGUGCCAGCAGCCGCGGUAAUACGUAGGGUGCAAGCGUUGUCCGGAAUUAUUGGGCGUAAAGAGCUCGUAGGCGGUUUGUCGCGUCUGCUGUGAAAACCCGAGGCUCAACCUCGGGCCUGCAGUGGGUACGGGCAGACUAGAGUGCGGUAGGGGAGAUUGGAAUUCCUGGUGUAGCAGUGGAAUGCGCAGAUAUCAGGAGGAACACCGAUGGCGAAGGCAGAUCUCUGGGCCGUAACUGACGCUGAGGAGCGAAAGCAUGGGGAGCGAAC